GAUGAACGCUAGCGACAGGCUUAACACAUGCAAGUCGAGGGGCAGCACAGGUAGCAAUACCGGGUGGCGACCGGCGCACGGGUGAGUAACGCGUAUGCAACUUACCUAUCAGAGGGGGAUAACCCGGCGAAAGUCGGACUAAUACCGCAUGAAGCAGGGGUCCCGCAUGGGGAUAUUUGCUAAAGAUUCAUCGCUGAUAGAUAGGCAUGCGUUCCAUUAGGCAGUUGGCGGGGUAACGGCCCACCAAACCGACGAUGGAUAGGGGUUCUGAGAGGAAGGUCCCCCACAUUGGUACUGAGACACGGACCAAACGCCUACGGGAGGCAGCAGUGAGGAAUAGUGGUCAAUGGCCGAGAGGCUGAACCAGCCAAGUCGCGUGAGGGAUGAAGGUUCUAUGGAUCGUAAACCUCUUUUAUAAGGGAAUAAAGUGCGGGACGUGUCCCGUUUUGUAUGUACCUUAUGAAUAAGGAUCGGCUAACUCCGUG
rnacentral:rRNA from 1 species